ACAUCUGUGAGUCAAGAAAAGAGAGUAUUAAUUUGGACACGUAAGAAUUGGAGGCAAAGAAAUGUGGACUUGGAGAAGUCUGGGGCCAGCUUGUUCCCUGCAGGCUCAAGAUCAACCAUCCCACAUUA
ensembl:snoRNA